AGGGGAGUAGCUCAACUGGUAGAGUAGCGGACUCCAAAUCCGUUGGUUGCGGGUUCAAAUCCUGUCUCCCCUGCCA
rnacentral:tRNA from 1 species